CUCUAGUUCGCUCCGCUGCAGGUUCUCAGUUUCACGGAAAAUCCAUGAGCGCUGACAGCACUGUGAUUGUGUGACACGGAGGUCAAGAUGGAGGUAUUGAAGACAACGCCAGAGAUUAACGGAGUAAUUGCGGAUGAAGAAUACAAAUGAAUACGUAAAAUGUCAGACUGACCCGUGUAAUUGAUAAAGACGCCGAAGAAGGAGACGGACAGAGGGGCCAGGACCAAAGCUGGGCUGUUUUCCAGCUGUGCAGAUACAUGGACUUCCUUUCCCUUACUUCUCUGACCAAUCACAGCACGGCACCUACUCCUUUCUGCUAUGCCAUGACAUGACAGAGUGCGGUGGAGAAGAUGCAAUAGACUGAACUGGCUGGCAUUGUGCUGGAGGUGAAUUACAGUACAGUACAAUACUAUAUAAAUAUGUGGAGUAAGAAGGCAUUAUUAAUACAUUGGAUUUGCAAGGUGUUAUGUGAGCAGAAAGAAAAAAAAUGACAAGCUAAAGGGAAAAGGGAGAAAUAAUUACAGCAAGGGAAGGGUUAUGUCCCAUUACAGCAAGAAAGGGGUUCCAUCACAUCACAGCAUGGAAGGGGUUAUAUCACAUGACAGCAAGGAAGGGGUUAUAUCACAUUUCAGUAAGGAAGUGGUUAUAUCACAUCACAGCAAGGAAGGGGUUACAUCUAAGCAAGGAAGGGGUUAGAUCAUAUUACAUCUAGAAAGGGGUUAUAUCACAUUACAGAAAGGAAGGGGUUAUAUCAUAUUACAGGGGUCUUCUUUUUUCUAGUCUUCAACUUCUUAGACUGGGAGCAUGUGGUGAGUGAGUUUUGUCACCUGUUUCCACUGGUGUGGGGCUAUGCAAUGGCGCCAUGUCUGUAGGCUGCCAUGGCUCAGAGACCGAGGCUAGAUCAGACAGCAUUGGGACUGCCCUGCCACUAGGCAGUUCUACCUCUGGGCACGGCUGUUGUGGUGGUGGUUGCUGCUCGGCACCACAUCAUUAUGUUAGGGACCACCCACAACACACAUGUGGCUGUGACGUGGCGUCCAGGCUUACACAUUAUGAUGAUAACCUAAAUUAAUGACCUGUUAGG